UGCAAACGUUGCUCGGAAUCACUGGGCGUAAAGGGCGUGUAGGCGGGAUGGAAAGUCAGAUGUGAAAUCCCUGGGCUCAACCCAGGAACUGCAUUUGAAACUCCCUUUCUUGAGUGUCGGAGAGGAAAGUGGAAUUCCUGGUGUAGAGGUGAAAUUCGUAGAUAUCAGGAGGAACACCGGUGGCGAAGGCGGCUUUCUGGACGACAACUGACGCUGAGACGCGAAAGCGUGGGGAGCAAACAGG
rnacentral:rRNA from 1 species